UCAGCAGGCUCCACCUGCUGGGCUGCCUGUGCUGGAAUAUUGAAACUACAUCUCCAAACCGUAAGAACACGCCCAGAGCAGCUCCCGCGGGUUACACCUGAGUCGGAGACAUCCAGACUCUGGGAGCGCUCUGGCUGUUUGCCUGGUGUCUGGGAGCAGGUUGGAAUUCUGUCCCUUGCACGCUGCUACACGAGUUUAUUUCUUCCAAAUUAUAAUUUUGGCCUCCUCAGUCACCAGGCAGUGGUUUGGGCCCUCUCUGUAUGUGAUGUGCAGGAGGAAUUCCUGGCUGGAGGGAGCAUUAUGGAUAUGUGUGUCCCCAAGGGCAGAGUCUGUCCCUCCUGCCAGCCAGGUAUAAAGGCUGGAGCAGCACUGCUCCCUCCUGGUAACUCCUGCAGCAAUCCCACAUGGAGUAAGGAAAGCCUGGGGCUGCAGCUGGACAGGGGAACAUUUAAAAAAAGCAAAGAGGGGCUUGUUGGUUCAUACACCCAGUCUCUUGGCUGCCUGAGGAGACGAAGUCUUGUAAAGAUGCAGUGUCAUUAUUGUAUUUUAUAUUGAGAAAAAAUAUAGAAAAAAUACCGUCACAGCUUAUCAGUGCAGAGCUCCAGGGCUGAGAGCUGAGGUCAAUUCCCAACAGAGCUGGUCACAAACUGAGAUACAACGUCAGGCACUGCCGGGGAAGGCAUAGAAGGAGCACGGGAAGGAGGGAACACAGCUGAGGGGUGGGGAAUGGCUGGUGUUGCGGUGAGAACGCCCAGGCUGCGCUUCAGCUCAUCCUACAGCCAUGGAAUAACUCAGAUUGGAAGGGUCCUCCCCAGGCUACCGGGUCUAUUGUCUUGCUUGGAGUAAAAUUCCUCCUGAACUCCACCCGGGGUGCUCAGGGCCUCGGGUGCUGAGAACUUCCACGUUUCCGAGGCGUAUUUGUGGCGUUGGUGGUUGGGUCUGGGGUUUGGUUGGGCCUGAGGUUUUGCCAAGUCAGGGCAUCCCAAUUUCAGCGCGUUCCUACUGCAAUUCUUCUGCUUUCACUCGUUUGAUGGGAGAGUUUUCUACCAAAGAGUCCUCCAAAGCUGGGAGGGGCCCGGGGGCUGCCCUAGGCCACCCAUCCUCCCCUCUGACCCAGCGGUCAGUCCCGGUCCGUCCACGUCCCGCCGCCAAUUCCCGCGCCCGCCGACUGCUCGCGCUCCUCGCGGGCGCGGGAUCGCUCGGC
rnacentral:lncRNA from 1 species